CAACUAGUUUGGGAUUAAGGUUUCUCGUUGUUAUUGUUGUUGUUGUCGUCGUCGUCAUUACUCAUUAGUUAAAUAUUCCUAUACACUGAGGGCUACUGUUUAACAUUUGUGUUGACGAUUGACUUAUUCAAGUUUUUGAGCUUGAAAAUUAUUGUUUCAUAUGAUAUUUGGUUGACCAUGAUUAUCUGUGUUGUUCUUAUUAUUUUGGUAUGGGGUUUGUUCAGUAAUAUUAGCUGUUCUAGUAGCUGCUAGCUAUUGUAGUACUUAUCGG
rnacentral:misc_RNA from 1 species